GACGAACGCUGGCGGCGUGCCUAAUACAUGCAAGUAGAACGCUGAAGGAGGAGCUUGCUUCUCUGGAUGAGUUGCGAACGGGUGAGUAACGCGUAGGUAACCUGCCUGGUAGCGGGGGAUAACUAUUGGAAACGAUAGCUAAUACCGCAUAAUAUUUACUAUUGCAUGAUAGUCAGUUGAAAGGUGCAACUGCACCACUACCAGAUGGACCUGCGUUGUAUUAGCUAGUUGGUGGGGUAACGGCGCACCUAGGCGACGAUACAUAGCCGACCGGAGAGGGUGAGCGGCCGCACUGGGAGUGAGACACGGCCCAGACGCAUACGGGAGGCAGCAGUAGGGAAUCUUCGGCAAUGGACGGAAGUCUGACCGAGCAACGCCGCGGGAGGGAAGAGGGUUGUCGGAUCGGAGAGCUCGGUUGUAAGGGAGGAACGAGUGUGAGAGUGGAAAGCUCACACUGUGACGGUAUCUUACCAGAAAGGGACGGCUAACUACGUG
rnacentral:rRNA from 1 species